rnacentral:rRNA from 1 species
UACGUAGGGAGCAAGCGUUGUCCGGAAUCAUUGGGCGUAAAGAGCGCGUAGGCGGCCAGAUAAGUCCGGUGUGAAAGUCACAGGCUCAACCUGUGAAUGCCGCUGGAAACUGUCUGGCUCGAGUCCGGGAGGGGCGAGUGGAAUUCCUGGUGUAGCGGUGAAAUGCGCAGAUAUCAGGAGGAACACCAAUGGCGAAGGCAGCUCGCUGGAACGGUACUGACGCUGAGGCGCGAAAGCGUGGGGAGCAAACAGG